GCCUUCCCCAGGAUUUUUCAGUUAGGCAAAGGGGGAGAAGCUAUCCUCUUUGGGAAGUCACUGUUCCACAGGGAGGUGAGAGACUCUUAGCCACCAGAGCACGAGGAGAGAAUGAAGACAGAAAUAAGGGGAGAGGAAGCCAGACCUGGUGACUGAGUCUUGCUGAGAUCCUUCAUGUGACUCUCAGAUGCCAUCAGCGAGAUUGUGCUGCGUCUCCUCCUCCCCCCACCUGGUCUGCGAUGCCGCCUUGAAGCGCAGUUUUUGCCUCAUCAUCAGCCUUUCCUGUGCACCUGCCCGCUGUCCUGGGCUUUGAGGACACAAAGGCACAGAGGACACUUUCUCUACUUCUGGAACUUUCUCAAAAGUCCGUGGGAGUGAGAACUGCAGGCAAAGGGACAGUGGCUGGUGAGAGCAGGGGCUGGAAGGGCUGUGAACGUGGGUGGAUAAGGAUGUGUCCGGACAUGGGGAGCUCGCGUACUCUGGUCGGAGGUUUUUUGCAGUGGAUUAAAGUCAAUGAAUGUUUAUUGAACUUCUACUAUGUGGUAGGCCCUGUGCUGAGCCCUGGAGGACACUGGGGUGAUGUGGACACAGAUUCUGUCCUCAUGGAGUUCACAGCCCAGAAGGCAAAUACAUCUAUAACUAAACAAAUCAAUGAGAAGAAUAUUUUGCUUGUGUUAAGUGCUAAGAAGGAAAUGAAUGUGGUGAUGAGAUUCACGGUGGGGUGAGGAAAAUUAUUUAGAUGGGAAAGGUCAGUGAAAG
ensembl:lncRNA